UACGUAGGUGGCAAGCGUUGUUCGGAAUUAUUGGGCGUAAAGCGCGCGCAGGCGGUCCUUUAAGUCUGAUGUGAAAGCCCACGGCUCAACCGUGGAGGGUCAUUGGAAACUGGGGGACUUGAGUGCAGGAGAGAAGAGUGGAAUUCCCGGUGUAGCGGUGAAAUGUGUAGAGAUCGGGAGGAACACCGGUGGCGAAGGCGGGUCUCUGGGCAAUUCCUGACGCUGAGGCGCGAAAGCGUGGGGAGCAAACGGG
rnacentral:rRNA from 1 species